rnacentral:rRNA from 1 species
CUUGGUCAUUUAGAGGAAGUAAAAGUUGUAACAAGGUUUCCGUAGGUGAACCUGCGGAAGGAUCAUUACUGAGUUAGGGUCAAAGUGGCCCAACCUCCAAACCUUUGAGUACCUCUGAAGUAUUGAUUUUUUCCAUGUUGCUUCGGUGGGUUAAAGACUCACCGAAGCACAGGAACCACAAAAACUCUGAAAAAGGUGCCGUCUGAAUUUUAUACCAAAUAAAAUUAAAACUUUCAACAACGGAUCUCUUGGUUCCCGCAUCGAUGAAGAACGCAGCGAAAUGCGAUAAGUAAUGUGAAUUGCAGAAUUCAGUGAAUCAUCGAAUCUUUGAACGCACAUUGCGCCCUUUGGUAUUCCAAAGGGCAUGCCUGUUCGAGCGUCAUAAAAUCAAUCUCAAGCCUAGAAGCUUGGUGUUGGGUUGUCAUGACUGCCUUGCAUUGGGUUAGUUAUGUACCUGAAAAUUAGUGGCAGCGCCUAAAGUGACCUCAAGCAUAGUGGACACUCUUGUGCUUUGGAGGCUUCAUUAAGGAUUGCUUGCCUUUUAACUGCUUUUGACAAAGGUUUGACCUCGGAUCAGGUAGGGAUACCCGCUGAACUUAAGCAUAU